UGGGGAAUAUUGGACAAUGGGCGCAAGCCUGAUCCAGCCAUGCCGCGUGAGUGAUGAAGGCCCUAGGGUUGUAAAGCUCUUUCACCGGUGAAGAUAAUGACGGUAACCGGAGAAGAAGCCCCGGCUAACUUCGUGCCAGCAGCCGCGGUAAUACGAAGGGGGCUAGCGUUGUUCGGUUUUACUGGGCGUAAAGCGCACGUAGGCGGACUUUUAAGUCAGGGGUGAAAUCCCGGGGCUCAACCCCGGAACUGCCUUUGAUACUGGAAGUCUUGAGUAUGGUAGAGGUGAGUGGAAUUCCGAGUGUAGAGGUGAAAUUCGUAGAUAUUCGGAGGAACACCAGUGGCGAAGGCGGCUCACUGGACCAUUACUGACGCUGAGGUGCGAAAGCGUGGGGAGCAAACAGG
rnacentral:rRNA from 1 species